rnacentral:rRNA from 1 species
GACGAACGCUGGCGGCGUGCUUAACACAUGCAAGUCGAACGGAAAGGCCCUGCUUUUGUGGGGUGCUCGAAUGGCGAACGGGUGAGUAACACGUGAGUAACCUGCCCUUGACUUUGGGAUAACUUCAGGAAACUGGGGCUAAUACCGGAUAGGAGCUCCUGCUGCAUGGUGGGGGUUGGAAAGUUUCGGCGGGUGGGGAUGGACUCGCGGCUUAUCAGCUUGUUGGUGGGGUAGUGGCUUACCAAGGCUUUGACGGGUAGCCGGCCUGAGAGGGUGACCGGCCACAUUGGGACUGAGAUACGGCGCAGACUCCUACGGGAGGCAGCAGUGGGGAAUAUUGCACAAUGGGCGGAAGCCUGAUGCAGCAACGCCGCGUGCGGGAUGACGGCCUUCGGGUUGUAAACCGCUUUCGCCUGUGACGAAGCGUGAGUGACGGUAAUGGGUAAAGAAGCACCGGCUAACUACGUG